rnacentral:rRNA from 3 species
AAGCGGCAACAGCUCAAAUUUGAAAUCUGGCGCAAGCCCGAGUUGUAAUUUGUAGAGGAUGCUUCUGGGUAGCGACCGAUCUAAGUUCCUUGGAACAGGACGUCAUAGAGGGUGAGAAUCCCGUAUGUGACCGGCCCGCACCCUUUACGUAGCUCCUUCGACGAGUCGAGUUGUUUGGGAAUGCAGCUCUAAAUGGGAGGUAAAUUUCUUCUAAAGCUAAAUACCGGCCAGAGACCGAUAGCGCACAAGUAGAGUGAUCGAAAGAUGAAAAGUACUUUGGAAAGAGAGUUAAAAAGCACGUGAAAUUGUUGAAAGGGAAGCGCCUGCAACCAGACUUCGCGGCAGUGUUCCGCCGGUCUUCUGACCGGUUCAUUCUCUGUCGCGAGGCCAUCAUCGUCUGGGCCCGCCGGAUAAGACCUGAGGAAUGUGGCUCCCCCUCGGGGGAGUGUUAUAGCCUCUGGUGAUGCGGCGUGGCUCGGGCGAGGUCCGCGCUUCGGCAAGGAUGAUGGCGUAAUGGUUGUCGGCGGCCCGUCUUGAAACACGGACCAAGGAGUCUAACAUCUAUGCGAGUGUUCGGGUGUCAAACCCCUACGCGUAAUGAAAGUGAACGGAGGUGGGAACCGCAAGGUGCACCAUCGACCGAUCCUGAUGUCCUCGGAUGGAUUUGAGUAAGAGCAUAGCUGUUGGGACCCGAAAGAUGGUGAACUAUGCCUGAAUAGGGUGAAGCCAGAGGAAACUCUGGUGGA